UACGUAGGGUGCGGGCGUUAAUCGGAAUUACUGGGCGUAAAGUGUGCGCAGGCGGCCAUGCAAGUCGAGUGUGAAAGCCCCGGGCUUAACUUGGGAAUUGCGCUCGAAACUACGUGGCUGGAGUGUGGCAGAGGAAGGUGGAAUUCCACGUGUAGCGGUGAAAUGCGUAGAGAUGUGGAGGAACACCAAUGGCGAAGGCAGCCUUCUGGGCCAACACUGACGCUCAUGCACGAAAGCGUGGGGAGCAAACAGG
rnacentral:rRNA from 1 species